UCCCCCCCCCCUUAUUUAUUUUUUUUACUGCCCCCACCCACCGCUCAGGGGUGGGGGCCAGGGGGGGAGGACAGUAGUUCCCCCCCCUCAUUAAUUUUAUGGCCCCCACCCACCGUGCAGAGGUGGGGGGAGGACAGU